CAGGCUCAAAGUUAAUAAGCCCAAAAGUGGAUAUCACUUAAGUUGGGUCACAUGGGCUAAUAUUUUGUGGCCCAGUUCAAAGCCUUCUCAUCAGGAGAAACGGACCUCCCGGGUGGAUCGCGGAUCCAAAGAUCCAGAAUUAGCAACAUUCGACCCAAAAUAUCCAAUUUCUUCAUAUCAUUACGAUUUACAUCUGCUACUGCAAGGGUUUUUCUAGAGGAGUGAUUAUGAGGGAGGAACAUUCUGAAGUUGAUUGGGUUUAUGAUGCCAGAGCUCAGGAUUUCACAUCGAUGUUUGAUGAAAGUGACAUUAUUACUUCACUCCUUCUGGUUAUCUCUUAAUUCUCAGAUUGAAGAAAAAACAGUUUUAGGGUUUGAAGAUUUGCUCCCUGAUGAGACAUCGGAAAAAAGGUUGUUCUUACACUGAGGCAAGAUUAUGAAGAUGACCAAAGCCAGUAUGAGAAUUAAGGCUGACCCAGCGAUAACUAGAACAAGAAAAUGCAACAGAUUGAUCAGAAAUCAAAUAGGGAAAUAAUAUAAACCAUUAGUUAUAUAAUAUACGCCAUAUAGUUUCAAUAAUAAUCCAUGGGAUCACUGAUGCAAAUUACCCAGCUGUGUUCGUUCCUUGCUUGGGCUUACUGCAGCAAACAAAUGUAUAUAUUAUAAGGUGAGAAAAAACAUUAGGACUCUGUAGUUAGACGCAUCACAGAUGCAUCUAUACAUCCUAUAUUAUUCUGGUGUACCCAUAAUAUGGUAAACAUGAGGGAAGAUUAAGAAGGAAAGAGAAGCUGUAAAUACCCCAUUUGACGUCUAAACACUGAACAUCAUUUCCAUUUUCAGUAGUAUUACACACGCGGCCUUUUUUCUGACAUUCAAUACAAUGAGGUGACAAUUCAAAUAAAAUUGAGAUGUUU